rnacentral:rRNA from 1 species
UACGAAGGUCCCAAGCGUUGUUCGGAAUCACUGGGCGUAAAGAGCGCGCAGGCGGUCGUUCAAGUCGAGUGUGAAAGCCCCCGGCUCAACUGGGGAGGGUCACUCGAUACUGAUCGACUUGAAGGCAGGAGAGGGAAGCGGAAUUCCCGGUGUAGUGGUGAAAUGCGUAGAUAUCGGGAGGAACACCAGUGGCGAAGGCGGCUUCCUGGCCUGUUCUUGACGCUGAGGCGCGAAAGCUAGGGGAGCAAACAGG